AGCAGUGCCUUGGUGGAGACCAUCUUGGGGCACCAGGAGAGGCUGGGCCUUGCUCAUGGCCGCCUGCAGGCCGCGGGGACCCAGCUUCGCGAUGUCCGUGCCAAGAAGAACCAGCUGGCCGCCCAGAUCCAGGAGGCACAAGCCAUGCUGGCCAUGGACACAAGUGCGUAACUUCUCCCUUCUCUUGCCUAUCCCUCCUCCGCACUCAGCAGUGCCUUGUGAGAGCAGACGUCAGUCCGUGCUGUGGUCUGUGUGUCCGAGGAGGCUCCCGUGCUAAGCAGCACUCUGGGCUUGUGCCUCUGACCCCUGAGGCGCAAGUCACCGGCACAGUUGGCCCUGCAGGCACUUGGCACCGAUGAGCAGGUCACAAGAGUGCUGGACAGUGCUGAAGUUAUGGGCGGGCACGGGACAAGCCGUAGUGGGGUAGUUACUGGAGGAUGUAGGAGCGCGUCCAACAGAGCCCCUUGGUCCAGGAGGGCGUUCCCAGAAAAGACCUGCUGACCAGCAAGCACAGAGGUCAGAGUGGGGUUCAUCUGGCUGCCUGUCCAAGAGGGCUCAGAACUGACAAUGUGGUCUGACCCUGCUGUCUAGGUUUUCCUGUGGCCACCAAAAUGUCCCAGGCACACCUGGCCACAAACCUAGAAACAGGCGGGGCAAGACUCCUGAUAAUGGCCCUGGGUGGGAGUAUUACAGGGCCAAGAAGAGAAGAGUGGGUAGGAUUUUGAAUGUAUCGAGCGGCAAGUGUGGAGCUGCUGUGCAGAGGG
rnacentral:lncRNA from 1 species